rnacentral:ribozyme from 1 species
ACAGGUCAUAGCCUGUCUAAAUAGUCCAUUAAGCUAUGAGCGCUACAAGCCUAUAUAACAGGCUUGUAAGUUGGA